UACGAAGGGGGCUAGCGUUGUUCGGAAUCACUGGGCGUAAAGCGCACGUAGGCGGAUCGUUAAGUCGGGGGUGAAAUCCCGAGGCUCAACCUCGGAACUGCCUUCGAUACUGGCGAUCUUUGAGUCCGGAAGAGGUGAGUGGAACUCCUAGUGUAGAGGUGAAAUUCGUAGAUAUUAGGAAGAACACCGGUGGCGAAGGCGGCCCACUGGUCCGGUACUGACGCUGAGGUGCGAAAGCGUGGGGAGCAAACAGG
rnacentral:rRNA from 1 species